AAGAUUUUUUUUCUUAGCUUUAGUAGACAUUUAGUGUCUAUGUACUGCUUUUUGCCAACCAUGUAUAAUACUGUAUGGAAUCUUUAAUUAUACUUUUUCUGUCAGUCAUAAGCUGUCAGCGAUAAACUUUGAUAUGUUAAUUACAGGUUUAUGCUACUAAUUGCAACAUGCUAUUAAUAUCAGUUGCAGAUCAUUUAGAUUUCAUGCAGCAACAUGGAAUUACCUGUAUCCAAAAGUACACUCAUACUGGUAUUCCCAACCAAAAUGAUUUGAACUUCAUUACAGGUAGAGUCAUAUAGGUAUUCAUAAAAUAUUAGAAAAUGAACACAUCUUUGUCAAUGCUGAACACAUCAAUGCUGAACCUUCCACUAGUCAUCUGAUUUAUCUUAUAUAUAUUUAAUUUCUAUCAUAUACUACUCUUUUCCCAUUACUCAUUCAAUGUUCAACUCCAUUUUCAUAUAGAACUUUAUCUUAUAGUUGCUGUAAAUUAAAAAACAUAAAAUAGGAAAGCAUAUUAUUACUAAGACCAGAUGAAUUCAGUUGAGCAUAAUAUGGCUUAUUUAUGGCAUUAAGACAUUCUUUUUUAAAUUAACCUUUAAAUUGUAUUUUGUUUUCUACUUAUUCUGUUUCAGCUGGUUUUUUCAGAGGUCUAUUCAUUAUUGAAGCUUAACCAAAUUUCUUUUCAGCCGUCAGUCCUGUUUUAGUUUCAUUUUUAAGCCUACUUUUAUAUAACUAUCCAAUCUUCUUAUUUUUUAAAGUUAACAUUUCUCGUUGCUUUUUUUAAAGUUAGUGGUCUAAUUUACGAAUCUACAUGUGGGCUAAUGAUUUGUUUUGUGCAUUGCAGUCAUUAAUUGCAAUGAAGACUGAUAAUGAUAAAUAUACUAUAAACUUUUUCACACAUAUACAUUUCUUACUGGUGUGCUGAAAAACACACUAUGGCUUUCCUAGCAUAAAAGUCCUGUAUCUUCAAAAUUUAACUUAUUGUCCUAUUUGUAUAUUUUAAGUGAUACUACUCUGCAUUUUGGUAUGUAUACUUAAUAAAGUAACAGCUAUGGUGGUUUUUGUAUUAAUUCUUAUUUCCUUUCUUUUUGUGUAGGGGAAAAAUAACCACAUUCUUCUAAUCAUAAGGAAUUACUAUAGACUUCAUAUAUAAAUUAACGAAAUUGUAUAGCCACAGUAUAAGCAAACUACACACAUAAUUUGACAUUUCUCCAGUUAUAUCAUUUACAAUUGUGGUCUUACCAUUUCUCACAUCUUUAAUAACUUCCUUUACAUUAUUUUUUUGAAACCUAUCUUUAAGCCAUUUUUUUCAAUCCCAAUCUUGAACAUACUAUUCUCAUAAAGAUAUUUAAAUAAUCUUUCUGAAUUAAAAAGUAUUUGUCAGAAACAGAAAGAAGUAUUUCAUCAUUUCAUUUGCAUGCCAAAUUAUUUAAUUAUGUUUAAUUUUUAAUUUUAUUAAUGGCUAGAGGUAUUUUUAGCCUAUUUCAUCCAUUUUGGAAUAAGAUUGUACAAUAUUUUGAAUUAUUGAGAAAACCCUUUUUAGAAGACAUGUAUAUUGUACAUGUUCAAUAUAUAGCAACAACUUGAAAUUUAACAUGUUUAGAAAAAUAUGGGGUUUUCAUGCUCUAAUAACAAUAAGUGUGUGUUUGUGUGUGUGCGUGUGUGUGUGUGGAGAGAGAUUUUGAAUUUACAAAAGACUUACAAUAUCAGUUAAAGUUGGGAUAUAGUUUUAAUUAGGGGUAAGAUUUAUUGUUUGCUCAUUUAUGAAUUUUCUUAUGUUUUCCUUUGAUUUUUGUGUAUGGAAAACUGUUCUCUUUUAUUUUAUUGUAUAUUACUUUAUGUGUGAGUAAAGAAUAAUCAAAACUAUUGGCAAAACUAUCUUAUUUUGCAGGAAUAUUUUGCUGUCUAUAUAUGAUAAUGUGCUAUUUUUUCUCUUCUUACAUUUUGCAGGAUUCCUGUCUAAACAGUAUUUCUUAUCUAUACUUUACCUCUGCUAUGUUAUCCCAUAAUACCACAUAUUUCCCUGGAACCAUGUAACAAUUAUUUUCACUCUUUUUCAAGCACUCUCUGCUUUAACCUUUCUUAUAUCCGCUUUUGAUAUAUUUGAAUGAAAAAUUAAUUUGUUUUCUACUUUUUAUAUAGGACUUCCACUUUGUCUGGCAGUUGGUCACUUAUUAGUUAGUUCUCAUAAUAACAAAAGGAAUGGGGCUACAGAGUGUAUGAAUAUAUGUACAUUGUCCUACUUCUAUUAACAAGUCUCUAUACAGAAAAAUCAUAAGGAAACCCACAAGAUUUUUGCCAGAUUACGCUGCUUACAGUAUAUAUAUAUGUUUUUCUUUUUUUCCCUUUUUCCUUUUUAGUUAAGAAUUAAAAUGCAAAUUCACAAAUGAAUGACAAGAGAAGAACAAACCUUAACAGGACAAAAAAGAAAAAGAAAAAAAUUCACAUACAUUGUUCCCUUAGUUCAGGGGUAUCAAACUCGCGGCAUCAUGUGGAUGUCACGUGUUGUAUUGUGACUUUUUUCCUUUCGCUAAACUGGGGAUGGGGGUGGCCAGCACAUGAUGCAUCCAGCCUGUGGGCCACGAGUUUGACACCCCUGCCUUAGUUGAAUAUUGAUAAAUAUAUUACAUUAUUAGUUUUUCUUCCCUUGUGAAACAGGUCUACAAUAAUCUGCUACAAUUCUAUUGACCCAAACAGUCUGAUUCAUCAUCUACCUCUUGUACAAAGAAACAGUUAACAGGCGAGCCCAACAACAAAAAUUAAGUUCAAAGCCCUUCGUUAACAAGCCAUUAUUGUGUUUUACUUGAAGAAAUCGGCAACAGCGUCAAUUUCAUUUUCAACUUUAAUCAUUACAGUUAUUGUCUCUUGUCCAUCCAGGAUCAAAUAGCUUUGAUUGAUUCUUAAUAAUAGAACUUUUCCUUAUUAUAACUAAGGUUUUUCCAUACAAUCACAUUUAAUUCCCCAAAAUAAUAUAUCUCUGUUGUAGGUAUACAACAUUUAUCUACAGUGUUUGCUGUUCAAAAGUUCUAUAUCUGUUUUUUCUUUGGAAAUAAAAGUUUUGGGACCAAUGAUUAAAUAGUAUAAAUUAUAUUUCUCAGAUGCCCUGCUUAUAUUUUUCAAUUGGCCUGCUUAUUCAAGUUUGAAUUUCUACCACUGAUGAGAAGAGGAAGAUGAUGAACGUUAUGAUCAAUUUCAAUUUGAAAUUGAGAAAACAUGCAAUCAAAGUAGAUGUGCUGUUUUGGUUCAGGACAAGUCUGCCAAAAUUGGAUAUAGUAAGGACAAGAUAAUAAGUUGAUUACUCGGCCUAAAAAUUGACCUUAUGCAGGAAAAUGACUUAAUAAAUUUCCCCCUAUACAAUAAUUUCUUCAUUGCUAAAUAGUCUUGUGAGUUCUAUUACAUAAUAAAACAAAUUUAUCUCUUGAAACAUAAAUGACCAUGAUGACCAGCAGCAAGAUGGAUUGAUUUGAUUACAGCACUUAUGAGUUUACUGUUGUAACAAAAACAGGAUUUGGACAGAUCAUCAUGGAAAAUUAUGUGAAUACUACAAGGUGACACUGGUCUAAGUUAAUCAAUGAAAAGUAAUAAACCAAAUUAUAUCUCAGAAUAAUUCCCCCACUGUCCCAUCCUGAAUGUGCUGCUUUAUGGUUAUUUUAAUUCUUUCUACUUUUGUGUUUAUUCUAAUUCUUCUUUAUACACCUCAUGUAUCCUUUU